GAUGAACGCUGGCGGCGUGCCUAAUACAUGCAAGUCGAGCGAACAGACGAGGAGCUUGCUCCUCUGACGUUAGCGGCGGACGGGUGAGUAACACGUGGAUAACCUACCUAUAAGACUGGGAUAACUUCGGGAAACCGGAGCUAAUACCGGAUAAUAUAUUGAACCGCAUGGUUCAAUAGUGAAAGACGGUUUUGCUGUCACUUAUAGAUGGAUCCGCGCCGCAUUAGCUAGUUGGUAAGGUAACGGCUUACCAAGGCGACGAUGCGUAGCCGACCUGAGAGGGUGAUCGGCCACACGGGAACUGAGACACGGUCCAGACGCCUACGGGAGGCAGCAGUAGGGAAUCUGCCGCAAUGGGCGAAAGCCGGACGGGGGGAGGGGGGAUGAGUGAUGAAGGUCUUCGGAUCGUAAAACUAUGUUAUUAGGGAAGAACAAAUGUGUAAGUAACUAUGCACGUCUUGACGGUACCUAAUCAGAAAGCCACGGCUAACUACGU
rnacentral:rRNA from 1 species